GCCGAGAUAGCUCAGCCGGUAGAGCAGAGGACUGAAAAUCCUUGUGUCCACAGUUCAAUUCUGUGUCUCGGCA
rnacentral:tRNA from 1 species